AAUGGGCGCAAGCCUGAUCCAGCAAUGCCGCGUGGGUGAAGACGGCCUGCGGGUUGUAAAGCCCUUUAAGCGGGGAGGAACAGUCGGGGGCUAAAAUCGCCCGGCGCUGACGUUACCCGCAGAAUAAGCACCGGCUAACUCCGUGCCAGCAGCCGCGGUAAUACGGAGGGUGCGAGCGUUAAUCGGAAUUACUGGGCGUAAAGCGUGCGUAGGCGGUUGGGUCAGUCAGCCGUGAAAGCCCUGGGCUUAACCUGGGAAUGGCGGUUGAGACGGCACGACUAGAGUGGGCUAGAGGAUCGUGGAAUUCCGGGUGUAGCGGUGAAAUGCGUAGAGAUCCGGAGGAACACCGAUGGCGAAGGCAGCGAUCUGGGCCACACUGACGCUGAGGCACGACAGCGUGGGGAGCAAA
rnacentral:rRNA from 1 species